ACCUGCCAACCAUUGGAGUCGACUCGCGUUCCACAGGAGUCGACUCGAAUCUCAGGGUCGAAAAUCGCUUUCUGACUUUUCUGUCUGUUACACCCUGGAGUCGACUCGUUCUACUCUAGAGUCGACUCGAAGACUAUUCUUUUGAAUUUUCCUUUAAAUUUGCUCCUCCAAUUUGAAUCCUUUGAACUUGAAACUUGGGCCAAUAAAUUGCAGCUUUCUUCCAACUUUUCUUGAGAGCUUUGGAGGCCUUCUUGUGUUCUUC
rnacentral:lncRNA from 1 species